CCGAUCGGAAUCGCCGGCGAUCGGCCGGUUCCCCGGAGCCCGCCGGUUUCCGGUCUGCGCGGCGCGCUGCCGCCGGUUGCCGAUGCGCGCGUUCCUCGCGGGGCUCGCCGCCGUGCCGGGGGAAACGAGCUCCGGCUCCGGUCGGUUCGGCGGCGAGAGUUCGGCCGUCGCUGCGGGCUUGCUGCUUCGGCGACGCGUUUGUCGAUGCUGGCUCUCCGAUUGUGGCUUGCUCGCGGCUGUGUUGUGAUGCCGGAAUUCCGAGUCUCUAGUGUUGCUAGCCUGCGCGCGCGCGUUUGCUCUGCUGAGCUGCGCCGACCGCCGACCGUAGUUAUUGAAUCGAUAGAUGGAGGCUGAUGACGCUUUCGCUUUCGCUUUCGAGUUGCGUCCGCUCUCCAGAUGUAUUGAGCUCCUGUCGAUUGCUAGGAGACUGUUAGCGGUGUGGAAUUAGCGUGCCUAUAUCACUGACGUAGAAUUUCUUAUAUUCGGCUGCCUCUGCCAUGUUGCAUUAAAGGGUGACUGCUUGGCUCCAGCUAGGAGGACUAACCAUUGAUACAUGAUGAGUUUGUACAGAAUUAGAAUCUUUCGAGUAAAAUUGUGCACUAGCAUAGGAGCCGACAAUAUAGAGCGGGGAAUCUUCUAUGAUUUCUACUGCUAGCAUAUCGAGUGCUGCCGAUGUGAUCAACUAGGUGAUCCUUUGUCGAGGACGGUGAAGGAAGUUAAUGGAAGUAUAGCAAGGUUCACUACUGGUGCAGUUCUGUUGUCUCAGAGACUUUCGUGCUAUUCCAUUGUUUGUUCUCACGGUGAUUACUUUACCGUGGCAAUGUUUUAUUAGGUUCCAUUAAAUUGGGGGAUUUCCCUUUCAUUUUUCCUUUUAUUGUUUUGGUUAUGGCGUGCGGACUGCAUGAAUGCACAUAAUCCAGGGUUCCGCACUUGAGUCCCUCACAAAUUGUUGGUCGCCAUGAGAUGAUUUUGCAUAUGAUUGGUUAUGUUAUCAAUACUUAUUUUCCAAGAAUAUGUGCAAUUAUGUUAUUAGCAAUGGCUUUGCAAGAAUACGAGGCAUCGGUUACUUGCUAUUUUGUUUUCUUUAUUUCCCAUGUUCCUUUUAGUAAAGUCCUAGCUAGUAUUGUAACCAAUUGCAUUUGAGCAAUAGGUCUAAAUCACAGCUUCUCCAAAACAAACUUCCUUUCUGGUCUGGUUUUCGAUUUGCUUCUCUUUGCCUUUUCUCAUGAUAUCUGCUACUAACUAUUUUGAUGUGCAUCUAGAUAAUAAUGUCUACAUUCUUGUGUUUUAUCUAGAUAACUCGAUUGCACUUAUGUUGAACGAUGGGAUAAGAUGAGCCAGGUGCCGAUUGAUAAAGCUCAGCAGUCAAAAGAAUACCAAUAUGGGAGGUUGUUGUUGCUGUCCUAGGCCUGGACCGCCACCAUUCUAUCACGUCAGUUGCCCGACAGCAUCCGAACAGCUUGUUCCUUUAUCAUCUCACCAUAAUUCUGCCCCUACAAUCUCUUCCGGGCUCGUGGUUGAUACAAAUUUGGAAACUACUUCUAUUGACACCUAUACACCACCUCCUGCACCUUUGCCUUAUGAUGUGGCUUUAGGCCAUCCUCAAACUCCACUGCAGCCUGAAGAAAGUACUGGCAAUAAAACCGAUGCAUCGGUUGAGACAACUGAUUCUGUUCCUGCAGAAAAUGUUGGCGGCAAUGUUUUAGAUAAACCAACCAAAUGUGGAGAUUUGAAGCUAUCAGACUGCAAAGGACAAGACUAUGUUCUCGAAACAGAAAACGAGCCGGAAAUUGAGCUCUCAGAAUCCGUUAAUCUUGUUAAUUCAUCUGCAGAGGAGUGCCCCACCUGUCUAGAGGAAUAUGAUGCCAAUAACCCAAAAAUUGUGACAAAAUGUGAGCAUCAUUUUCAUCUUGCGUGCAUUCUUGAAUGGAUGGAAAGAAGCGAUACUUGUCCAGUCUGUGAUGAGGAAAUGAUUUUCAACUACCCUGUUAAUUAGAGGCACCAGUGCUGUGACGCUCUCUUCGGAAUUCACUGGAUUGGUUUAAUCAAGCGUGCACCUCGAUGCUUGCUAAUCUCAGCUGGAUCGCAGAACUCAAGCAGGCUGCCGAGCUAGCACAUAACAGUGGAUUGACUUCAUAUUUCUGUAUCCGAUAGGUUUUGUCAUUACUUGUUCCAUUUCACUAUCACGCAGCAUGCUUAUAUUAGUUGCGUGCGGGGAACUAACCUCUCGGCAAAGAUGAAGACAACAUAGGAUUUGCUUUCUCAUUUUUCUCGGCCUUGCUGGUCUUAAAAAGUAAUUGCUUCAGUCUUUUGCUGGUGAAAAUUUUAACUGGUGUUCGCGGGAUGCUUGGUGAUGUGUUCCUCAAUCAAGUGAUUAGGAACAGCUGUAGAGGAGAUGCAAUGCUGCCAAUCCUAGUACGUUAGCUUUCAUAAUUUCAUUUGACGGGUUCUUCACUUACUUUAUGAUAAUUGGUCUACAAGAUCUGUGAGACGACUGUCUUUCUUUACUUUU